rnacentral:rRNA from 1 species
AACGAACGCUGGCGGCAUGCCUAACACAUGCAAGUCGAACGAGACCUUCGGGUCUAGUGGCGCACGGGUGCGUAACGCGUGGGAACCUGCCCUUAGGUUCGGAAUAACUCCCCGAAAGGGGUGCUAAUACCGGAUAAUGUCUUCGGACCAAAGAUUUAUUGCGUUUGGAUGGGCCCGCGUUGGAUUAGCUAGUUGGUAGGGUAAAAGCCUACCAAGGCGACGAUCCAUAGCUGGUCUGAGAGGAUGAUCAGCCACACUGGGACUGAGACACGGCCCAGACUCCUACGGGAGGCAGCAGUGGGGAAUAUUGGACAAUGGGCGAAAGCCUGAUCCAGCAAUGCCGCGUGAGUGAUGAAGGCCUUAGGGUUGUAAAGCUCUUUUAACCGGGAUGAUAAUGACAGUACCGGGAGAAUAAGCUCCGGCUAACUCCGUG